UCCCUGGCAGUCUAGUAGUUAAGACUCUGUGCUUCCAAUGCAGGGGUUGCAGGUUCAACUCCUGGUCAGAGAA
rnacentral:tRNA from 1 species